AAUAGAUACCCGGGUAGUCCACGCCGUAAACGAUGAGUGCUAAGUGUUAGAGGGUUUCCGCCCUUUAGUGCUGCAGCUAACGCAUUAAGCACUCCGCCUGGGGAGUACGGCCGCAAGGCUGAAACUCAAAGGAAUUGACGGGGGCCCGCACAAGCGGUGGAGCAUGUGGUUUAAUUCGAAGCAACGCGAAGAACCUUACCAGGUCUUGACAUCCUCUGCCAACUCUAGAGAUAGGGCGUUCCCCUUCGGGGGACAGAGUGACAGGUGGUGCAUGGUUGUCGUCAGCUCGUGUCGUGAGAUGUUGGGUUAAGUCCCGCAACGAGCGCAACCCUUGAUCUUAGUUGCCAGCAUUCAGUUGGGCACUCUAAGGUGACUGCCGGUGACAAACCGGAGGAAGGUGGGGAUGACGUCAAAUCAUCAUGCCCCUUAUGACCUGGGCUACACACGUGCUACAAUGGAUGGUACAAAGAGUUGCGAACCCGCGAGGGUAAGCCAAUCUCAUAAAGCCAUUCUCAGUUCGGA
rnacentral:rRNA from 1 species